rnacentral:rRNA from 1 species
CAUGCAGUCGAACGGAAAGGCCCUUCGGGGUACUCGAGUGGCGAACGGGUGAGUAACACGUGGGUGAUCUGCCCUGCACUUCGGGAUAAGCCUGGGAAACUGGGUCUAAUACCGGAUAUGACCUUGGGAUGCAUGUCCUUUGGUGGAAAGCUUUUGCGGUGUGGGAUGGGCCCGCGGCCUAUCAGCUUGUUGGUGGGGUUAAGGCCUACCAAGGCGACGACGGGUAGCCGGCCUGAGAGGGUGACCGGCCACACUGGGACUGAGAUACGGCCCAGACUCCUACGGGAGGCAGCAGUGGGGAAUAUUGCACAAUGGGCGCAAGCCUGAUGCAGCGACGCCGCGUGAGGGACGACGGCCUUCGGGUUGUAAACCUCUUUCAGCACAGACGAAGCGCGAGUGACGGUAUGUGCAGAAGAAGGACCGGCCAACUACGUGCCAGCAGCCGCGGUAAUACGUAGGGUCCGAGCGUUGUCCGGAAUUACUGGGCGUAAAGAGCUCGUAGGUGGUUUGUCGCGUUGUUCGUGAAAACUCACAGCUCAACUGUGGGCGUGCGGGCGAUACGGGCAGACUAGAGUACUGCAGGGGAGACUGGAAUUCCUGGUGUAGCGGUGGAAUGCGCAGAUAUCAGGAGGAACACCGGUGGCGAANGCGGGUCUCUGGGCAGUAACUGACGCUGAGGAGCGAAAGCGUGGGGAGCGAACAGGAUUA